rnacentral:rRNA from 1 species
UACGUAGGCAGCAAGCGUUGUUCGGAAUUAUUGGGCGUAAAGAGCUCGUAGGCGGUCUGUCGCGUCGAUCGUGAAAACUUGGGGCUUAACCCUGAGCUUGCGGUCGAUACGGGCAUGACUGGAGUUCGGCAGGGGAGACUGGAAUUCCUGGUGUAGCGGUGAAAUGCGCAGAUAUCAGGAGGAACACCGGUGGCGAAGGCGGGUCUCUGGGCCGAUACUGACGCUGAGGAGCGAAAGCGUGGGGAGCGAACAGG